CAGUAGAUUGGUAGCUGGAAGCCAAGGGCGGUAGCAU
rnacentral:ncRNA from 1 species